GGGAGGCAGCAGUGGGGAAUUUUGGACAAUGGGCGAAAGCCUGAUCCAGCAAUGCCGCGUGCAGGAUGAAGGCCUUCGGGUUGUAAACUGCUUUUGUACGGAACGAAAAAGCUUCUCCUAAUACGAGAGGCCCAUGACGGUACCGUAAGAAUAAGCACCGGCUAACUACGUGCCAGCAGCCGCGGUAAUACGUAGGGUGCAAGCGUUAAUCGGAAUUACUGGGCGUAAAGCGUGCGCAGGCGGUUAUGUAAGACAGAUGUGAAAUCCCCGGGCUCAACCUGGGAACUGCAUUUGUGACUGCAUGGCUAGAGUACGGUAGAGGGGGAUGGAAUUCCGCGUGUAGCAGUGAAAUGCGUAGAUAUGCGGAGGAACACCGAUGGCGAAGGCAAUCCCCUGGACCUGUACUGACGCUCAUGCACGAAAGCGUGGGUAGCGAACAGGAUUA
rnacentral:rRNA from 1 species